GAUGAACGCUGGCGGCGUGCCUAAUACAUGCAAGUCGAGCGAACAGACGAGGAGCUUGCUCCUCUGACGUUAGCGGCGGACGGGUGAGUAACACGUGGAUAACCUACCUAUAAGACUGGGAUAACUUCGGGAAACCGGAGCUAAUACCGGAUAAUAUAUUGAACCGCAUGGUUCAAUAGUGAAAGACGGUUUUGCUGUCACUUAUAGAUGGAUCCGCGCCGCAUUAGCUAGUUGGUAAGGUAACGGCUUACCAAGGCAACGAUGAGUAGCCGACCUGGGAGGGUGAUCGGCCACACUGGAACUGAGACACGGUCCAGACUCCUACGGGAGGCAGCAGUAGGGAAUCUUCCGCAAUGGGCGAAAGCCUGACGGAGCAACGCCGCGUGAGUGAUGAAGGUCUUCGGAUCGUAAAACUCUGUUAUUAGGGAAGGACAAAUGUGUAAGUAACUAUGCACGUCUUGACGGUACCUAAUCAGAAAGCCACGGCUAACUACGUG
rnacentral:rRNA from 1 species